rnacentral:rRNA from 1 species
CAGCCGCGGGAAAACGUAGGUGGCAAGCGUUGUCCGGAAUUAUUGGGCGUAAAGGGCUCGCAGGCGGUUUCUUAAGUCUGAUGUGAAAGCCCCCGGCUCAACCGGGGAGGGUCAUUGGAAACUGGGAGACUUGAGUGCAGAAGAGGAGAGCGGAAUUCCACGUGUAGCGGUGAAAUGCGUAGAGAUGUGGAGGAACACCAGUGGCGAAGGCGACUCUCUGGUCUGUAACUGACGCUGAGGAGCGAAAGCGUGGGGAGCAAACAGGAUUAGAUACCCCCGUAGUCCCUGUCUCUUAUACACA